UUAUGUUGACUGAGGUAACAGUCGAGAGUCAAAGCUAACCAAUACACCAGUAACUUUUUUGUUUUCACACAUACACCAUCCGCAUCCCGUCAAAUCCACCGCCAUCACCAGUGAACUGGAGAACUUCCUGACAGGCAGUUUUAUUCCAACGAAUUCUGAAGAGGUUACAGUCUCGUACAAUCAUUCUCCACCAACUCGGGGAAUAAUGAUAAUAAAAAUUUCAAAUUCCAGUCAACCGAUGGAAAAUGUCACCAGAAUCAUAUAAUAUUGAGAAUGUAUCGUCUGAAGUUGGUAGAAGAAAUAAGUGAAAAAGGAGAGAAGGAGGCAAAAGUUCAAAUAUUUGUUUUGGGUUUGACCCAAGGGAUGGAUACAAUAUUUCGAGUGAGCAUCAGCCGAGACCCCCACAAUUUCUCCCCAGACCUUUCUCCUGAACUUUCCCUCCUCUCCCUUUCUAUUCUACUGUAUGUGUAGAAUUCACAAGCUGACGAGGACUCUGAUUUAUCUUUUAUUUUUCUUGAGAAGAUCUGAGAGAAAGACGACAAGGGAUGAGCAGAAAAAACCCAGUCAGGAGUACAGUCUAGCGCAUCAAUCCUACCCUUACUAUUGAGGGAUGAUUCAGUGUAUCGUAGCUCUGACAUUUGAUGUGGCGAUGGACUGCCCCCCCCCCUCAAUACCUCUCAUUCGCGACCUCACACAGAGAUCAAU